rnacentral:snRNA from 1 species
ACUCGCUUCGGCGGUGCAUAUACUAAAAUUGGAACGAUACAGAGAAGAUUAGCAUGGCCCCUGCUCAAGGAUGACACGCAAAAUCGUGAAGCGUUCCAUGUUUUC